rnacentral:rRNA from 1 species
UUGAGCGAUUUACUUCGGUAAAGAGCGGCGGACGGGUGAGUAACGCGUGGGUAACCUACCCUGUACACACGGAUAACAUACCGAAAGGUAUGCUAAUACGGGAUAAUAUAUUUGAGAGGCAUCUCUUGAAUAUCAAAGGUGAGCCAGUACAGGAUGGACCCGCGUCUGAUUAGUUAGUUGGUAAGGUAACGGCUUACCAAGGCGACGAUCAGUAGCCGACCUGGGAGGGUGAUCGGCCACAUUGGAACUGAGACACGGUCCAAACUCCUACGGGAGGCAGCAGUGGGGAAUAUUGCACAAU